AUUGAACGCUGGCGGCAGGCUUAACACAUGCAAGUCGAGCGGGGUGAUGGUGCUUGCACUAUCACUUAGCGGCGGACGGGUGAGUAAUGCUUAGGAAUCUGCCUAUUAGUGGGGGACAACAUCUCGAAAGGGAUGCUAAUACCGCAUACGUCCUACGGGAGAAAGCAGGGGAUCACUUGUGACCUUGUGCUAAUAGAUGAGCCUAAGUCGGAUUAGCUAGUUGGUGGGGUAAAGGCCUACCAAGGCGACGAUCUGUAGCGGGUCUGAGAGGAUGAUCCGCCACACUGGGACUGAGACACGGCCCAGACUCCUACGGGAGGCAGCAGUGGGGAAUAUUGGACAAUGGGGGGAACCCUGAUCCAGCCAUGCCGCGUGUGUGAAGAAGGCCUUAUGGUUGUAAAGCACUUUAAGCGAGGAGGAGGCUCUUUUGGUUAAUACCCAAGAUGAGUUGACGUUACUCGCAGAAUAAGCACCGGCUAACUCUGUGCCAGCCGCCGCGGUAA
rnacentral:rRNA from 1 species